GGAUAAUUGACUGAGUGGUUUAAAGUGUGAUAUUUGAGCUAUCAUUAGUUUAAAAGCUACAUAGGUUCGAAUCCUAUAUUAUCCU
rnacentral:tRNA from 1 species